rnacentral:rRNA from 1 species
UGGCCUGGUGGCCCUAGCGAGGCUGCCACACCCGAUCCCAUCCCGAACUCGGCCGUGAAACGCCUCAGCGCCCAUGGUACUGCGUCUCAAGACGCGGGAGAGUCGGUCGCCGCCAGGCCA